CUAUAAUUAGUCGUCUUCUUCUUUCCUUCCCAGCCAACCCUAACCAACCACAGGUUUGAAUUCAAGCAGUCCAAGUCUGAAUGCUUUAAGAUAAUUUAAAGAUCAUCUGAUAACCGUCAAGCCUUUAUCUCUAGAAUUGGAAAGAAUGGAGUUAUCAAGCUCUCUAGAUCUGUUAACGGGCAAGCUCGUCUCCGUUUUAGAAAAGGAAGCUUCCUUGCUGACAGAGGUUGGAGCUGAAAUCGAUGAAAUCAAGCUUGAGCUCAAGGCCAUUACAGCUUUCCUUGAGGAUGUUGACACGAGCCUAGGAGUAGUACCCAUCUCUGAAACCGAUAAACAAUGGGUCGCAAGCGUCAGAGACAUUACCUAUGAAGUUGAAGACGUGGUCGACGAAUUCAUGUUCCACUUCAACAAGCAACAACAAUGGAGGGGUAAACCCACCAAGUUUUUCUUGAAGCUUAUUCAUUUUCCCAAGACUUUAUUGUUCAGGCAUCAAAUAGCUGUCCAGUUACAAGAUAUCAACAAAAGAAUCAAAAGCAUUGCAGAGAGAAACCAACGAUAUCCGAUUUCUCGAUCAGAAUCAAGAAAAUCUGAUAAGCAAAUCCGAAGAGAAUAUCACCGUAACAACUGGGUGAAGAAUCUGAGUGAAUCUACUCUCUUUUUUAAAGAUGUCGAUCUUGUUGGAAUCGACAAGGCACAAAAUGAGUUACUGGGAUGGCUGUUGGAUGAAGAGCUUCAAAGGACCGUGAUUUCUGUGGUUGGGAUGGGCGGUCUAGGUAAAACAACUCUCGUCGCCAACACUUUCAACAAACAAGUUGUCAAGCAACAUUUCGAUUGUUGUGCCUGGAUCACUGUUUCACAACAAUAUAUUGUAACAGAACUAUUCAAAUGCAUCAUCAAAGAGCUCUACGGCAAGGCAAAAGAAAAGAUGGAUCCGGUGAUCAACCUAGACUCCAUGAGUUAUCGAGAUUUGGUGGAGGCACUGGUGAACUUCUUGCAGCCAAGGAGGUAUCUAAUUGUGGUUGAUGAUGUUUGGAGCACUAAUUUAUGGCAAGAUAUCAGCAUAGCACUUCCUGCCAAUAUGAAUGGAAGCCGGAUCUUGCUUACCACACGGAAGGACGACGUUGCUUCCUUUGAAUUUGGAGUUGUAAAACACAUCUUUCCUCUUAAACACUUACCGUUUGAAGAGAGCAUGACUCUUUUUUUCAAGAAAUCUUUUGUUGGCAAAGGUGGACAAUGCCCACCAUAUCUUGAACCUUCAGCAAGAAAGCUGGUUGCAAAAUGUCAAGGCUUGCCAUUAGCUAUUGUGGCCUUGGGCGGUUUGAUGGCUUCCAAGAGCUCGAUUGCCGAAUGGAAUGGAGUUUAUGACAACUUAAAUCAGGAGCUAAGCGAAAAUGAUACAUAUUUUGAAAGGCUCAAGUAUAUUUCAUUGCUUAGCUACCAUGAUUUGUCUUACACACUUAAACAAUGUUUCUUAUAUUGUUGCAUAUUCCCAGAAGGUUAUAAGAUUAGACGUAAAAGGCUCAUUAGACUUUGGAUGGCUGAAGGCUUUGUUGAACCGCUAAAAGAAACACUUCCAGAAGUAGUUGCGGAGAGAUAUCUAUCCGAGUUGAUAUGCAGAGGCUUGCUUCAAGUUGAGAAGAGGAAUAAAUCUGGGAGGCCCAGGGCAUUUAAGAUGCAUGACAUUUUGCGGGAGUUUGCUGUUUCCAUAUCAAAAUCCAUAAAGUUUGUUGCCAAAUCUGAUGGGAAAGAAGAAGUGGAAGACGAUGGAAUCCGUCGUUGGUCUAUUGAAGCAAAGGAGAAUGAAAUGAAAGCUGCACGCAAGACUGCACUAUCUCGGGUUCGUUCAUUAUUUGUUUUUGCUGUUGAAGAAACCUCUAAAUCGUCCUUCAAUAGACUGCCCUCUGGUUUUAAAUUGAUGAGAGUGUUGGAUUUGGAAGACAUUCCAAUCGAGGAACUCCCAGACGAAUUGAUGAAUUUAUUCAAUUUGAGAUAUCUUAACCUAAAAGGGACUCAAGCGAAAAAGCUUCCGAAAUCCAUCGGCAAGCUUUACAACUUACAGUUUCUACUUAUGAAGCGGACUCAAAUCAAAGAGCUUCCAGCAGGAAUUGUGAAGUUGAAAAAUCUUCGAUUCCUUAUUGCUUUUGGUUUCAAUGUAAACCGAAUGGCAUUUGAUUGUAAGUUUGGCCCAGUAGUUCCAUCCAACAUUUGUUUGCUAAGCAACUUACAUGUUUUGAGCUUUGUGGACGCAAGAGGCGAUUUCAUCAAACAACUCAGCAAGAUGGUACAAUUGAGAAGACUUGGCGUUACCAAUGUGAAGGAAGCUGAUGAGAAAUAUUUAUGCUCAGCCAUUGCAAAAAUGACACAUCUUCAAUCCUUAAAGGUGAAAUCAUGUAACGAAGAUGAGCAAGUGAAGAUGGACGCUCUUGAAUCCGCUCCCCCUGACCUUCGGAAACUUGCGUUAGUCGGGAAACUGGAGAAGGUACCACACUGGUUUAACUCACUCGACAACCUCACAAGUUUGGUAUUAAAUUGGUCUAGAUUGAGGGAUGAUUUUCUCCCUCACAUCCAAGCAUUGCCUAAUCUUGUACAACUCAAACUACUAAAUUUAUACGAGGGAGAGCGAUUAGACUUCCUUGAAGGAUUCCAAAAGCUUAAGGUUUUAAAAAUUGGGAGAUGCCCUCGAUUGAAAGAAAUUUUGAUCAACAGAGGAGUGAUGCCUGGUCUUCAAGAGUUGUUCAUUGCCGCAUGCCAGGAGUUGACGACAUUGCCGGAUGAUUGGGAAAGUCUACCUGAUCUAAACGAAGUUUAUUUGUCUGAGGUCUCGCCUGAGCUUAUUCAGAAAAUAUGCAGAUCAAAAGGGAUGAAUCAACAAACAAUCAGAUCCAUCCAGUUAAGUAGGGAAGAAGGCAUUGAAGCCAUAUUCAAAAUAACGAGAUGGUUUGAAUAAUCCUUCCAGACGAUAUUGCGAGCACAACAUGAUUGAUGAUUCCAGAGUCUUUGUUCAGGCCCAAUGAAAAGUUACAACCCAUCAGGUCUAACAGUGGCUCGUUUUCAGGCCCCAUGACCCGAUAGAAACCCUCGUCCAGCCGUUUCUCCAAGCACCCGAGGACCCCUUAUGCUUCACGUUUCUCACGGCGCCGCAAUGCCCGCAACCAACACGCCUCAACCUCCCAGAGAGUUAUAAAUGUGAUAUAAAUCGAACGAAAUGGGAGAGGAUUUUUCAUA